GAUGAACGCUAGCGGCAGGCCUAAUACAUGCAAGUCGAGGGGUAGAAGAGAGCUUGCUUUCUUUGAGACCGGCGCACGGGUGCGUAACGCGUAUGCAACCUACCUUGAUCAGGGGGAUAGCCCGAAGAAAUUCGGAUUAACACCGCAUAAGAACACAGAGUGGCAUCACUUAGUGUUUAAAUAUUUAUAGGAUCAAGAUGGGCAUGCGUGACAUUAGCUAGUUGGUGAGGUAACGGCUCACCAAGGCGACGAUGUCUAGGGGAUCUGAGAGGAUGACCCCCCACACUGGUGCUGAGACACGGACCGGACUCCUACGGGAGGCAGCAGUAAGGAAUAUUGGUCAAUGGAGGCAACUCUGAACCAGCCAUGCCGCGUGCAGGAAGACGGCCCUAUGGGUUGUAAACUGCUUUUAUACGGGAAUAAACCCCGCUACGUGUAGCGGGUUGAAUGUACUGUAAGAAUAAGGAUCGGCUAACUCCGUGCCAGCCGCCGCCGUAAGAC
rnacentral:rRNA from 1 species